AUUCGAGUUACAAAAUGGCCGCCCGGAGCGUGUUCGGCGCGGUUCCCCCAGCUGUCUCUGGCUGAACCGGCGCUCUCGCCUCCCUGCCGAACACAGCGUGAGGAGCCCCCCCAGGGAUAUGGUGUUUGAGUCUCUGGGCUUGCCGAGCACUAAGUCCUCUGAGUUCCGCAGCGCAGCACCGGAAGCGGCCGAGCGCGCUCAGCCCGGCGACCCCUGCGGGCUCCAGACCCCUGCGCCGCUGCGCCCCGGGUUUCGCCGCAACCAAGACCCAGCGAGUGCAGCGGCGGCCGCCGAGGAGAUGGAGUCUUGCUCUGUCACAUAGGCUGGAGUGCAUUGGCGCGAUCUCAGCUCACUGCAACCUCCACCUCCUGGGUUCAAGAGAUUCUCCUGCCUCAGCCUCCGGAGUAGCUGGGAUUACAGGUUCGAAAACAUGGCCAAAAGAAAUGCCGAGAAGGAACUGACAGAUAGGAAUUGGGAUCAAGAAGAUGAAGCUGAAGAGGGUAAAAGAAGGGCUAUAAACUAAAGCCGAAG
rnacentral:lncRNA from 1 species